AAUAAUCUCAUUUUUCGAUUUUCGAUUUUUCCUAUUUUUAGAACAGGUUUAUUAGUUCUCACUAAUGGUGAUUGUAACCAUAGUCAUCUAUUCAAAUUUUCGAGCUCAGGUUGAUCAAAUCCAGUCCAAUGCUGGAUAUUAUGGAUAUGCCCCUGGAUAUGAAACCUAUGGAUAUGCUCAAGCAGCUCAGGAUCCAAAUUUGUACUACGGAGGUUACCAAGGAUAUGGAAACUACCCACCGCCCCCUCAACAACCACCUCAGGUAGAUAUGCCUAUAGAUUUGAUGGGAAAACCCUUUUUACCUGAAAAUCAUUAUUAACAUACUUUGCAUGGGAGGGAGGACUAGUUGAACACUGUACAUUUACAUUUAUGCAAUGCUGAUUAUUGACUAGUUUUCCCAUUUCUUGUUCUUUUUACUUCAUCUUUCAUCAUUAGGAUCAACAGUGGUUUGUUGACACUCCUUCAUAUCAGCUUCAUUGGUACAGAAAUAUGGGUUUGCUCUAUCUUGUGUAUGAGGAGCAAAAAUAGUGGGAUAUUGAUAUAUGUUUUUGUAUUUUGUACGAUGUUAUUGAAACUGGCGAGAAAGUGCCUCUAUCAGCAAGAAGUUAGCUUCUUCACCAUGUCAGAUGCGUAUGUAUGUAUGUGUAUCCAAACACUAGAGAGCAUUGUUCAUUGUCUUUUACUCGUGGCGUUUCUCUACAAAAGAAUCCUAUUAUUAUUAUUAAAAUCCUAUUGAUCUAGCAGUGCCAUAACUUGGGAUCAUAACACCAAACAUAGGAAAUAUAAACACAACAUGAGAUGGAGGCCAUGGAUUUGCAGUACAUUAUUAAAAUCCUUUUGAAAGUUGCACUACCUAGCAGACGUAGCCAAGAAAGAGGAUGAGGAUUUUAAUGUCUCUCUGUUACCCAAAUAUGGAUGCUCAUCCUUGUACAUUUUUUAUACUCAUUAAAUUGUUUGAACGGGCAGCUCCAAGUUUCAGUUUUGCCUAUAGUUAUUAUUUUUUUCACAAACGUGUAUGCAAUCUUCUCUUUGGUCUGAGCUGGCAGCAAGUGGAAUUUUUCUUUUCAAGGUCUUUUUGUCGUCUGCCAUCGUCGUCGCAAGAUUGGUUAGAACUUUGCUUGCUUAACAGUUUCUGAAUUGAGUUUUGUUGAUAUGAAACCAUGGUUUUGAUGAUAAACAUUUUUAUAUUGGCGUUUCCAAAAGUUUAUAUCAUGAUGUACUGCAUUGUUUCAAAAUCUGCUCUUCUUUUGUAUUAAACUAAUAUCAGCACCAGUCGGCUCCUCCUAUCCAACUCCCCUUUCAUUAGCAUUUCCCUCACCUACACUUAUUGUGUAUUUACAGCUUCAUACCAGACUUCUCAAGGAACACAGGGUGAGGAUGACCCUACUAAUACAACUGUGAGUAAUUUUAUUCACAAUAAUUUUGUAUGCUUUCUUUAUCUAAAUAAUUAAGUACUAAUUUAUUUCUUGAUUGCAGAUAUUUGUUGGUAAUUUGGACUCUAAUAUCACAGAUGAGCAUCUGAGGCAGAUUUUUGGCCAAUAUGGACAGUUACUUCAUGUAAAAAUACCAGCAGGAAAACGAUGUGGAUUUGUUCAAUUUGCUGACAGGUAACCUGGACAUUACCAUUGUUACCUUCUCAUCACACACUUAAUUUAAACACCAAGAAAUCAGUAUGAAGGAUUUAUCAUGUUCUCUGCAUCUGCUAUAACAGAAGCUGUGCUGAGGAAGCUUUACGAAUGUUAAAUGGAACCCAGUUGGGGGGACAAAGCAUUAGACUCUCAUGGGGCCGUAGUCCUUCAAACAAACAGGUACAAAUAAUCUCAUUUUUCGAUUUUCGAUUUUUCCUAUUUUUAGAACAGGUUUAUUAGUUCUCACUAAUGGUGAUUGUAACCAUAGUCAUCUAUUCAAAUUUUCGAGCUCAGGUUGAUCAAAUCCAGUCCAAUGCUGGAUAUUAUGGAUAUGCCCCUGGAUAUGAAACCUAUGGAUAUGCUCAAGCAGCUCAGGAUCCAAAUUUGUACUACGGAGGUUACCAAGGAUAUGGAAACUACCCACCGCCCCCUCAACAACCACCUCAGGUAGAUAUGCCUAUAGAUUUGAUGGGAAAACCCUUUUUACCUGAAAAUCAUUAUUAACAUACUUUGCAUGGGAGGGAGGACUAGUUGAACACUGUACAUUUACAUUUAUGCAAUGCUGAUUAUUGACUAGUUUUCCCAUUUCUUGAAUCUUAUCUGUCACAUUUUCCCUUGGUUGGUCGUUAUUUAAGGUCUGCCCACUGUUUUGAUUUAUAUUUACGUGGUAUUGGAUUUAUAUAGUAA
rnacentral:lncRNA from 1 species